UGACCACGCCCCCUGCGCGGCUCGGCCAAUCAGAGGCGGCGGCUCCGAGCUCCCCCCGCCCGCCCUGAGGGCCCGGCCCGCAGUGCGCGAGAGCGGCCCCUCAGAACCUUCCCGCGCUUUUCCCAUAAAAACCGGGAUUCCAGCGGGAAUUCUCAUCGCGUCCCGGCCUAAAGGCUGUCCCGGCACACCUCUGCAGAGGGCACCGAGUAAUUGUUAUCCCUGAGGUUGUUACGGCUGCAAAACUGCUGCUGUAGGGAUCGCCACGCUCCAAAAAAGAUAGAAUGUGGGAAAAUACUACACAUUACUACACUCUGCUCUUUAAACUGGCCCUUCCGGCACAUCCAGUCCGUACAUAAAGGAUGCACAUUGCUUAUACAUGAAGGUUUUCUAGCAGGAAAGUUUGUAAGUUAUUCACGUGAGAUACUUUAUAGGAUUAAUUGCAUAACAGAAAUACACAGAUCUGAGUUUGGGGUGAAUUACCCCAAAUUUGAGCACCCAAAAGCGGAAUUCCCCAGGACACGCUGCUGCUGCCUCCCCUGAGCGUGGCACUGUGCUGCCUCUUAAGCACUAAAGCAAACUGAACCCCACAAAAUAAUUUUUUUUCUCAAUCUUGCAAUAUUUUUGGAUGUUUUUACUGCUUCAUAAAUUCAUUAUUACAGCAGGUCACUACUCCUAAAUACAUGAAUUACGGAGGGAAUUGUGUAUAUCCCAGCAAUCAGGGACAUGCUCCUGCAUAGGUGUUGGUUUCUCUUGCAGCUAAAAUAUCCACGUGUGCCUGCACAUCCAGGGCUCAGGGUGAAUAUAUCGAUUUAUUUCCUUGCCCUGUGGAUGCCCAGAGCUGUUGGGAUGCUGCAUUCCCACGGGACAUGGAUGGAUUUCCCCAGAGCUCUGCCAUGUGAACUCCAGCUCCACAAACACUGCCUGAGGUGCCUGCAGAUAACAGAGACUGGGACUACAGAGCUGCUUUUGUGGGAGACAGGAGCCUUAUCCAGGAAAGGAAAUCUGACUCUUCCCACAGCAAGCAGCCUGGGAACGUCACAAACCCUGAAUUAUCCCUGCUUGACGAGCUACAUCUGCUUUCAGAGGAUCUCAAAUCAUUUCAUAACCCUGCCUUUCACUUCAGUGCUGCUGCCUCGAGGUCGGGAUAACAUCACACAGAGCUGUUUCUCACUCCUGGAAGCAGAGGAAGGAGGAAACCCGACCUGCACAUGAUUGCACCAUCUGCUGGCAGCAUCUCCAUGGACAGACAUUCCUAGAAGGGAUUCUGCAAUUCCUCAUUGUCUUACUUUGGAGGACAGGUGUCUGCUGAGAAAGGCAGGAGCUUCUCUUUGAAAUGGAGAAUGGAAACCC